rnacentral:rRNA from 1 species
GAUGAACGCUGGCGGCGUGCCUAACACAUGCAAGUCGAACGGAGUUGUCACCAUGAAGUUUUCGGAUGGAAUGGAGGCAACUUAGUGGCGGACGGGUGAGUAACGCGUGGGUAACCUGCCUCAUACUGGGGGAUAACAGCUGGAAACGGCUGCUAAAACCGCAUAAGAUCGCAUCACUGCAUGGUGAAGCGGUUAAAUAUCGAAAGAUAGGUAUGAGAUGGGCCCGCGUCUGAUUAGCUAGUUGGUGAGAUAAGAGCCCACCAAGGCGACGAUCAGUAGCCGGCUUGAGAGAGUGACCGGCCACAUUGGGACUGAGACACGGCCCAAACUCCUACGGGAGGCAGCAGUGGGGAAUAUUGCACAAUGGGGGAAACCCGUGAUGCAGCGACGCCGCGUGAGUGAAGAAGUGCUUCGGCAUGUAAAGCUCUAUCAGCAGGGAAGAAGAUGACGGUACCUGACUAAGAAGCCCCGGCUAACUACGUG